UACGGAAGGCAGCAGUGGGGAAUAUUGCACAAUGGGCGAAAGCCUGAUGCAGCUAUGCCGCGUGUAUGAAGAAGGCCUUAGGGUUGUAAAGUACUUUCAGUCGUGAGGAAGGUGUUAAGGUUAAUAACCUUAGCAAUUGACGUUAGCGACAGAAGAAGCACCGGCUAACUCCGUGCCAGCAGCCGCGGUAAUACGGAGGGUGCGAGCGUUAAUCGGAAUUACUGGGCGUAAAGGGCACGCAGGCGGUUAAUUAAGUUGGAUGUGAAAUCCCCCGGGCUUAACCUGGGAAUGGCAUUCAAGACUGGUUAGCUAGAGUCUUGUAGAGGGGGUAGAAUUCCAUGUGUAGCGGUGAAAUGCGUAGAGAUGUGGAGGAAUACCGGUGGCGAAGGCGGCCCCCUGGACAAAGACUGACGCUCAUGUGCGAAAGCGUGGGAGCACAAG
rnacentral:rRNA from 1 species